AGUUAACAGUUCAAGUGCUAUGCAAAACAAAGAUGGUUUGAUCGAUUCAGGGUCUAGGUCAGAGAUAAUGGCUGCAAGCUAUUAUCAUAUUCUGGAUUCCCCACCACAUUAUCUAGUAUUAUGGCAUUUUUCAAUUUUUAUGAAUUAGAGUCUAACUUCUAUGAUGCCCAUAUAUCAUCAUUCUCUUUAUGUGCAUUACAGGAUGAAUUGAACCACCAAAGUUUAUAGUUUUAUAAUUCCUUACAGUAUCAUAUAUGGUAUAAUAUAAGGUUUUUGAAGCUCUCUUUGAAAAGGUCAUUUUGGCCUUGCAUAGUAAUUGUAAUACACCCAAUUCUUAAAUCUUCAUAAAUUUUACAAUUGUUUUGCAUUUGGCAGAGGGAAAUAGCUUUGAUUAACUAGCUUAGAAUCAGCAACUCAGCAUUUAUUUAAAAAAUACGGUAACUGUAAAGAAGACAAAAAUUGACUUGGAAGUAGGAAUUAUGAAUCAAACCCCACAGGAAAUGCAGAAAAAAAUGUGUUCUCCUUCCAGGUUUUUGGCACAAUUCUCCUGGAUGCAAAACGUCUUGGAGAAACUAACUCUGCACACUCUGCUAACUGUUCUACUUCCAGUUGACCCGCAGCUGUCUUCUGAGCUUUGGGGGCCUGCUUCUAUUGCAAGUGAAGUCAGUGUGGACUUUUGUCCCAGCAACAAAGAUUCUGUACACGCUUGCCAAGAUGGAUUGGUUACAGGUACUCAAAUCCAGUUAAAGUGUCCUUGGCAGUUGACUUAAUUGGAAAGUGACCUGCUAAGUGUUUUCCCACUCAUCAGCUGCCUUCCAGCAUCCUCAACAGCUUGUGUGAAGUGCUGCCAAUACAAGAGCUGAGAGUGAGAUUCCCAGCUUGCUGUGGGAGAGAAGAAAUCUGCUUAAAAUGAUUCCUAAAAAAUAUGCCUGGUCUGUGUAAUCAUUCAGCUGUGAGAUUUGUUUUAAAAGGGGGCUUACAUAGUGGAGCAAUCUUGAAAUGAAAAGGUAGUGCUCUUUCUCUGCUAGUGUUUUUAGUGUUCUUUCUAUUAUUUUUUCAGAUAUGUGACUGUGGCAAAGAGUCUGCACUUACAAUAACUUACUCUUGCUAACUGGCUUC